GCUGGGACUACAGGCGCCCGCCAUCACGCCCGGCUAAUUUUGUGUAUUUUUUAGUAGAGACGGGGUUUCACCGUGUUAGCCAGGAUGGUCUCGAUCUCCUGACCUCGUGAUCCGCCCGCCUCGGCCUCCCAAAGUGCUGGGAUUACAGUCUGGAGCCACCGCGCCCGGCCCUGAGAUGUCUCCAAGUGGUGGUGAGACAUCAUCAAAUCCUAAGAAACAAUAUACUUGAAGAUUUUUCACUCACUGCAUCAAAGGUAAGAAAAAUACUUCUCUCCACUCCCUAAAGAUAUGUUACUUUUUUGCCUCGUCAACCUGUUCUCUUACAGUCUGGAGAUCCGUCAUGAACGAUGCUGGCAGAAUGAGUUUUAUCACAUCCUGAUGUGGUAGUUCAGCUCUUCCACUUAGGCUGGUAGGGUUCUGAGAACAUUAUAUUUUUCUCAACAACUGGGGCCCUGGCCCAAAAGGAGACAAAAAAAUCCCUCGUUAGCAUCCCAUUAUAAUUAUUAUUAACAGUAAUUACAUGUAAGAGCAAAUGCCACUCUUGUUAUUUACUUGAAAAUUAAUUAUGUAAAAAAAUUGUUAGCAAAUAAUUUCCCCAUAUGGCUUUUUGUACUGGAUGUAUAAUAAAAUGUAGAUUGAAAGUGAACUAUUUCUUACAACAUAAAGAGUAGAUAAAAAUCUACUUUCACGAUCUGACUGGCAGUUUUGGAAUUUGAAAUCUCUGUCUUUGUCUCUCUGUCUUUUUCACACACAUGUGCACACACAAACACACAACUAGUUCAUUUGUUUUAUAAACAUUAUAAUUUGCUUCUAAAUUAUGAGCUACUGGAUGUUACUGGAAGACACAUUUCUACAAACAAAAUAUUCUGGGAGCAGAUAGAUUAUUAUAUUAUCAAUAAAUUAAAAGACAAAACAUAAUAAAUGGAGUAUUUUUUGCUAUACUUUUCUUUUGUAACCUUGGGUUUUGAAUCACUAUCUACAUCUCACUCUAGUUCAUACAAACUAUGAUGGAAUAAAUACAGCUGGAACAAUCUAUUGAAGCUCAUUGCACAAUUAUAUUUUCACACUGCUGAUUAACUUAUAUGUUUACAUCACUGUUUUAGUCUUCCUUUCUUUAAUCAAUAGUAUUUUAUCUCAUUAAUAAUUUAUAGACAUAAAGGAAAUAAGUCUAAGAAUAAAAAUAAUUUGCUUGCACACUAUAACCACUGAAGUAAGACAUGGAGGUGUGAUUGACAGCCCAUAAGAAGCAUUAUCAGAUAUCCACAAACUCCAGAAAUAUUUGAAUUUCAUGUUGCUCUUGUAGGUUCUCAAAACAUUCCAUUUUUAAAGAGGCAAUAUUUUGAUAUUGUAGUUAUUGAUUUAAAGUAGACAUUAAAAGAUAAA
ensembl:lncRNA novel transcript